UACGGGGGGGGCAAGCGUUGUUCGGAAUUACUGGGCGUAAAGGGCGCGUAGGCGGCCUUCUAAGUCAGACGUGAAAUCCCUCGGCUCAACCGAGGAACUGCGUCUGAUACUGGAAGGCUUGAAUCCGGGAGAGGGAUGUGGAAUUCCAGGUGUAGCGGUGAAAUGCGUAGAUAUCUGGAGGAACACCGGUGGCGAAGGCGGCAUCCUGGACCGGUAUUGACGCUCAUGAGCGAAAGCGAUGGGGAGC
rnacentral:rRNA from 1 species